UGAGCAUAAAAACAGAUAUAAAUAAUGUUCAUAGUGAUAGUACAAUCCUAAGUAAUCACCAUAAUGAAACAAGUGACACUCAUGUUUAUUCUAAAUUUGUACAUUUAUAUAAUAAUAAUAAAUAUUAUAUUAAAGAGCAAAUUAAAACGUAUGUGUUCAAGUUUUUACAACCUGAAUGGGCAGACAUGUUAAUUCAUCCUAUUGAUAAUAUCACUACUACUACUUCUACUAACUCUGACACUGUUACAUUCUCUACUAAAAAGAAAAUGUUUCAAUACAAUUACAAACUUUACGAAUUCUUAUUAAGUAUAAAUGAAAGCCUCAACGGGGAUGAUACACUCUAUAAACAAUUUAGUACCAAAAACGACAACAUGCAUAAAAACUUAUCAGAUAACAUAAAAACAGUAUUACAAACCAGUAUAGAAUACUUUUUCGAUAUUAUAAAAUUAUUUCAUUAUAAAAAAAAUGAGAAUGAAAAGUUUGUUUAUAAAUAUAAUGAAUAUAAUUCUGAAGAAAUAGAUGCAUUUUACGUACAUUGGUAUAAUGAGUAUAAUAAAAUAACAAAUAAUUUAGCCUUUUUAAUUUUAUCUUUAAAUCCAGAACUACGUUUGUAUAGUCACUUACAAAAAAGGCUACUGGAGCAUAUACCAGACACUCACGAAACCAUAAACAACGCAUAUAAACAGCAUACACUUUUCAAACCUUUAAAUGUUAAUUUUAAAUGUUUUGAAACAAAAGAAUUUGUAAAAAAUUUAAAUUUUAUUAUUCCUACUAAUGAAAACGAUAUAGAUAACAUUUUUACAAAUUUCAUUAAUACAAAAAUGUAUCACCACAUUCCAAUGUUAUUUGAUAUGAUGAAAAAAUUUUUCUCUUAUGAAACAAGUUUUUUGGUUAAUUAUACGCAUCUAGAAAGUAUUGUCAAUUCUUAUUUUAGUGAUUCAUUUACAGAUAAAUCAACUAAAAUUGUCGUAACAAAAUUAUUACAUUCUUUUUUUAUUCGAUUAUCUUAUAAUGUAGUAGGACAUUAUGAACAUCAGUUUACAAAAGUAUUAGACAAUUUAGAUCCUAAUUUGUUAAUUACAUUUCAUACUAUAAUAAACAAAUUAAUGUUCACAUUUGUAUGUGAUAAUACACAUAUAACAGAUUUAUAUGCUCCAACCUUAU
rnacentral:lncRNA from 1 species